ensembl:lncRNA D21S2088E D21S2088E
ACGCGAGAGCCACCGCGCUCGGCCGGAGACAUGUUUUUUAGCAGGAGAAUUUAUUAAAACGUAUUUGGACAUAAACAAAAUGAAUUACACUUGGAAGAGGGACAAAAGGGCAACUUGAGAGCUCCAAAUCCGCUGUUCAACCGUUGACUUCAGGAAGAGCGCAAAGAAGAUAAUCUGUCUGUUCCAUGAAACGUGAGCUGGGCAGCAGAGGACCAUUUACAAAACCGUUCACCCACACAUUGGCAGAUUGGUAUUGAUUGACAGCUGGGAGUUAAGCUGGUACUGCUCUGAAGUCGCCAUGACCUCUAACCUAGAUGGCUACAAUACCUACUACGACUUCUCCUUGCCUCCAGGCUGCUGACUAACUUAAUGAACUGAACGGAUUAAAAUGGUGCAAGAGAAAAGGGCAUUUUUACACAAAAGGAAGCAUUUUCUGUGUUCCAGUUCAGCUGUUCCAAUGACAUUUGGUGGUGUUAUCAGUGUGAAUUAUACAAGCAAGUUUCUUUAUCCAGACUGACGCAUCAACCAUGAUCUAGCAUUUGCAAGAUGUGUAAUUACUUUGACUUUCAAGAAAACAUCUUCUGAUCUAAGGAACUUCCCAAGAUAUCAAAGCUGGCUGGCUCAGGAAUACUCUCACAGUGAUGGCAGAAGAGCAAAUCUGGAAGUUCAAACACUCAAAUGUGUUGUUGGAUUUCUGCAUGCAUCACAUGGGCUAACAACUGGUCAAAGCAAAUCACAUGGCCAAACUAAAAAUCAAAGGCCUGGAAGACAGACAAAGUGCUAUAUUGAAGGUUACAGAAGAAUAAAGAAGUUCUGAAUAGAACAGAAGCUUUCAUAAGGCAGGGGUUAUAACGACCAACAGAGACUCCACAAAACCAUUUACUCACAAGAGAAAAUAUGGCACGGAUUGGAUUAGAAGUGGAAAGACUAAUGCAUUUUUGUCCAUAAGGAUUAGAAGAAAAAUGGUUCUCUCAGCUCUGCAAGUGAGCACAACAAGCAAUCCAAAAGCAUUAUUUGUGUGAAGCAGUUUGUAGAAUUUGUUCCAUUUGUCACUAGAACUAGUGUUUGAAGCUCAGCAAAAGUUGAGUUAUGGUUAAGCCCCAGGGUCAGUGGCCACGUGUUCAGAGUAGUACCUUAGGUUUAAAGCUGAUUCACAACCUGAAAAACACUCAGUGGUGUUCUCUCCCAAAUUAUCAAUCAUUACCUUGUGGUGUUUUAAAAAGAGGAUAGAAGAUUGCUUGACCAGAAAAUAAUGACAAUAAAAAGGAAAUUA